rnacentral:rRNA from 1 species
UGGUGGAGUGAUUUGUCUGGUUAAUUCCGUUAACGAACGAGACCCCUGCCUGCUAAAUAGUCAAAUGAGUGAUUUUUCACUGAUUAUGGCUUCUUAGAGGGACGUGCAUUUUAUUAGAUGCAGGAGGAUAGGGGCAAUAACA